AUGAUGCAUUUGCAUAAUAGAUGGUACCCAUGUGACUGCUGGAGUGACAGAGAUCACAGGUUGCAUCAUACAGGGGUAGAAAGCACUCCACAAGCGAAUGUGCUUGUUGCUAUUGUCUUUGAUCUGAAGUUCACAUAUGUAUUAGUUAGCUGGGAAGGAUCAACCCAUGAUGCUAACAUUCUUGCCGACAGCAUGGCUCGACUUGAUGGCAUUAAUAUCCCCGAUGGAAAAUUCUACCUAGGAGAUGCUUGCUAUGCAUGUCGGCCUAGCGUUCUUCCACCCUUCAGCACAAUGAGCUUGGAAGAGCAAAAGGGUUGGAGUGGACUGAGGCAAUGGGCAAACAAAGGUGUCAGGGAGAGGCUAGGGUGGCGUGGCUCUUGGUGUAUUGUUGUGUUUUCCCUUUGGAUCCUCCUCCGAUGCACGUGGGGUGUUUGUGGGCUAGGUUAUAUCGUAUAG
rnacentral:rRNA from 1 species